GAUUGCUGUGCUUGAAGCGGAAGCAGCACUAGGAGCGAUCGUCUCUUCGUCUUGCUAGUUAUGAAAAACACGAAAAAACAUCAGAAGAGCGAGAAAGGCGUCUGAGUCACUGCUGGAGACAAGGCUUCGCUGAGAAACCCAAACUGUGGACCACCUGUUGCGAGGUAAAAGCCACAAAGCCGCACGGACAGGUGAAGAUUGACAGUAAGGCAACUGUUGAUGUGGAGACUGGAGCGUGAUGUUGGACUUUUUAGGUAAACACUGUAAUUUAUUGUACGUGAAACGGCUUUCUAGCCGUGACUUUUGAGAGUCGCAAUCACUUAGAGCAAAUCUCAGCUUUCAGUUCAUGCUUCCGUAAUGGUGAGAAUCCAAUUAUGGGAGUGAUGACUUUCCUCGUUUCCUUUAGAAUCAUGUUGAUUAAAGGGUGAAUAAUGACUCCUUAAAGGGGGGCAAAAGGUUGUUUUAAACCCGCCCGUUGCUUGCCCAUCCCUGAUACGAGUUCAGUCAAAUUAUGUAGAAUGACUAGCAUCCGAAAAUGUCACCAUUAGUGCAGCUUUUUGUUUGAGAACAGUGCUCAAAAUAGAAAUCUUAAUACAAACUCCUAGGCAUUUUAAACUAAAUGUCAAAUAUAGUCAAAAGGAAAAUAAGAAAUGAUAUUUUGCCACCAUAUUUAGAUUUCUUAUGUUUUAUAUAAG